rnacentral:misc_RNA from 1 species
GAAGAGAUUCAACCUAGCACGGG